UGCGUAGGCGGCCUGAUAAGUCAAGUGUGAAAUACCCGGGCUCAACCUGGGUGGUGCACGUGAAACUGUCGGGCUUGAGUGCAGGAGAGGGAAGUGGAAUUCCUAGUGUAGCGGUGAAAUGCGUAGAUAUUAGGAGGAACACCAGUGGCGAAGGCGGCUUCCUGGACUGUAACUGACGCUGAGGCACGAAAGCGUGGGGAGCAAACA
rnacentral:rRNA from 1 species